GCGCGCCGGCGGCCGUUGAGGUGGGGGUGGGGGUAUGCGGCUCGCGGGCGCUUCUCUGACUUCUCCUCUCUUUCACCACGGCUCCAACUGGUCCUCGUCCUUAGGCCGCACUGUCCCGCCCACACCCCAGCGUACCUGCGCGGCUGAGCGGGAGAGGAACAAGCUUUGCCCCACAGCACAGAAGGUGGCAGGAAUCCCUCACGCAAAUAUUGUUUCCUGCAUGGUUUGUCUCCACUGAGAAGUCGUAGGAAUAUGCAGGUGCAGACACAAAGCCCAGCUUCAUGUCCAACAUUGUGGAAAGGGACUGUACAUCAUGGGGCAGAGCCCUAUGCUCCCCUAUGCCACCUGGACAGAGCCCGGGGAGAGUGACCUCCUGGGUUAUCCACGUUGGACGAGAUUGCAACUUUUUUCCCCCAGAAAACUGUAAAACUUAUUGAUAAUUUUAGCAAUCAAGGUUGAAAUAUCAAGACUGCACGCGUGGCUCUAGAUUGUCUUCUUUUCAACCCUUAAUGGUACUUAAAUUGCUUCUGGCAUUUUAAGGGGUUCUAGAUUUGAUAGAAUUCCAUGCUUGGCAUCAGAACCAUCUCCACCUUGCACUUUUGGCCUCACACAGUUCCUGGAAAUCAGCUUCCAGGUCAAGCCCUUGAAGCUCAGAUUUCAGAUGCUCCUUCGCUUUCUCCCUCUUGACCAGGUGUGAUACCCUGACUUUCAGGUGGGGUGGAUCCUCUUGUUGAGGUUGUUCAUCACUGAACUGGGAAACGAUAAGCUCAAGCAGAUGAGAAAACUCUCUACCUAUAGAUUUGGAUCUCAAUAUUAUUUUUUAACUGAUGUUUCACAUGACUGAGUCUCAGUUGGCUAAAAAGAAUGAAGAUACCUGGGGCACUAACUCUUGCAUAUCGCUAAGCACAGAAAGCAAUGGCAUGAUGCAUGCACAGUGGAGACUUCAGUUUCCUAGAUGACUCCCGGAACUGUAAGGCUAAUGAGUGCAGAUGGGCAAAAUUUUACAUUUAUGGAUUGGUAAUAUAACCCAAGUGGCCUGAAUUAUGUACAUUCCUCCAAAACAACAAUACUUUUUAGCCACAUUUGUUGACAAACACAGGUACCAAAGUGUUCUGCAGCACUAUCAGAAUGCUUGAAAACAAAUUUUCAUCAAUUGGCAAAUUUUUAGGUGAUAUGCAUAUAAUAUUAAAUGCAGCAGUUUUAAAAAUAA